UAGCCUACGGGACGCAGCAGUGAGGAAUAUUGGUCAAUGGCCGAGAGGCUGAACCAGCCAAGUCGCGUGAGGGAUGACGGCCCUACGGGUUGUAAACCUCUUUUGUCGGGGAGCAAGACCCGCCUCGUGCAGGCGGAGCGAGAGUACCCGAAGAGAAAGCAUCGGCUAACUCCGUGCCAGCAGCCGCGGUAAUACGGAGGAUGCGCGCGUUAUCCGGCUGUAUUGGGUUUAAAGGGUGCGCAGGCGGACCAUCAAUUCAGCGGUAAAA
rnacentral:rRNA from 1 species